GUAAGUUUCUUGCUUGAGUGUCUACUGUAUACUCGGGGCUUUUCACGGCUCAUCUCAUAUAACCCUUACAACUACCACAAGAGACAAGUCUUUUUCUCAUUUCCAUUUCAGAGGUAAGGAACCCAAGGCCUUAAGAAAGUUGAGGAUGUUGCCCAAAGCCACACAGCUUGUCGGUGAAAACGUGGAAUCCCUUUGCGAUCAUAUGGGGAAUUUGUUUCUGUUCCAUUUGAGAAAAGGAGACAAUACUUUCCAACUCGCAUAAGAGAAAGGAAAGCUGAUUUCAUCACCCAUGCUCCCAUGUAAAUUUAUUUUUUCAGCCUCAUUUCCCUCAGAAUUUUAAAGACUUCAGUCCUCUCUCUUCUAUUCUUCUGGUGUAAGAGCUUGGACAAGUCACCCUUUCCUCUUUUUCUAUAAGAAAGAAAAAAGUUACCCAAAGGAACUUUAAGCCAGUUACUUUACUUCCCUAACCCUUAGUUUGUUAGUUUAUCUGUAAAGUGGGGACAACAACAAUACUGAUCCCAUCAGGCUGAAGUGGAAGUUGGGUGGAAAUAGUGUGGGCAAAGCAAUGAAUAAAGUCAGAAUUCCAGAUUGUUGUUCUUAACUGCUGCUGUGUUUGGAGAAUUCUUUCGCAAGCAAAGGGAAGUGGGGACAGAAGUUUGUAUGUAGAAAUGUUUUUCUCUUCUUGUACCUAACCUUGAUGCACAGAGAACUUCAGGGCUGUUGUUUUUAUCUGAAAAUUUCUUCUAACUCCCUUGCUUUCUGUUUUGAGAGUAGGGAAAUAAAUUUAGAGAAGAUUGAUUAGCCAUGAAGAUUAUUGACUGGAGAUGCUAGAGGAACUAUGUUCAGUUUUUUCUCAGAAACAGCGAAAGGAAAGCCUUUUGCUGUCUUUUAGUGCCUGAAUAGAAACUAUAACCAGGGUUUUGAAAUAUGAAAGGUGUUAAUAUUUGUAUGUAUCGAAGCUAAAGUAAUUUUUAUGUGUUGCAUAAUUACUAAAUGCCCAUUUGCCACAUCCAUUUUUUGGUUUGUUUUAGAAUACGAAGGAAAGGGUGUGUAUUUGAGAUAUAGAUCUUCCCAUUGGUACAUUUGUAAUUAAAGUACCUGUGUUAAUGGCACAACUUCCAUUUAGAAUUUUUUUAAUUCAGCAAGCAUUUAUUGCAAAGUAUCGAAUUGCAGGGAAGGGCAGAUGACUAAAGACGCCAUCUCUGCAAAGUAGUAAUUUAAGGAAGGAAAAGAGGGAAAAGAAGAACAUCACAUGCGCACAGCUGAUUGGGAAAGGCACAUCUGCCCUGUGCCAGGCAAAGAGCUCUGCCUGUUACGAGCUGCUGCUGACAGGAGCUCUGCUCUGCCUCUUCGGGAAUGAAGGGUGUGUGACCCCUGCCAUCCACAUGUGAGAUGCCUUCCGGCCUGGCCUCCCUUCCAAGAAUAAUUUCCUUUCAAUGGACCAAACUUAGUCAGAAGACUUCACCUCUCUUGAUAGUGUUUUUAUCCAGCUGGGGUCUGGUGGUUUUACGCAGCAACUUGUUUUACGGCUUGAGUUCUGCCCUUGAUUAUGUAAUCUUUGACUAUUUUAUCUUCCUCCACUUCCCUUUUUCUUUCACUUUGAGAUGCAGAGCAAGUCACAGAGUGUACAGUGACGAGAAAUGUAGCGAGUGAGUAUGGAAGAAGUGGAAUUUGUAGCGACUGUAAAAGGUGACAGGCUGUGUCCCCAAGAAGGAAGAUUUCUGUGUCUCCUCCAGGCAGCCCUGCCGGAAGAAGGCCUCUAGCUUUUUCAGAGUAGCCUGGCUGAUGGACAAGCUCCAGUCUUACAUCUGAUAAGUUAGAAAGACGCUUCCACCUUCGAGACGUAUCCUUCCAGCAGACAUUACAGCUGCUCUCAAGCACCCACUUUUAGCCAUUGCCUGAUGUUUGGAAUCCUGAUAAUGCCUCUCCUUGGCCAUGUCCCUCAGAACUGAGAGGGGGUGACAUGCCAAGGAGCCAUUUAGAAGCCCAUGCAGAAGAGGACAAAACCCCAAUCUGCUCAGGAUCCUGAGCCACUCAGGAUCAAAGACAAAGGUCAGAAACAAAGCAGGUACUGGACACAAUGGCCAAUUUCAGGGGCUUUGCAUACAUAUCUAAAAUGAGUUAACUGAGAAGAAACUUCACGUGAUGUUUUACCCAAUUUGGGAGGCUACAAUCAAGGUUAUUUGAGAAGUGGGACCUGGUGUUUUACCAUUACCUGUGAGUUUCCACACAGAAAUUUAUAGAUGUGGGAAAGGCUGGGUAAUGAGAACGCUCCGUAAAGAGGCACCGUACUUCACCGGGGAGAAAUCGUCCAAGUUGCUUCACAAAUGUUAAGAAAUAUGCCUACUUAAUUGUAUGUUGCAUUUUCCAUGGUCUUUACUUUGUUUCAUGUGCAGCGAUUAAAAAGAUAUAUUGUACAUUUUAGUAUCUCUUAUGUUUUCCAAUAAAUACAAACCUGGAGUGCACAUUUUUUUUCUUUUUCAU